UAAUUAUUGGGUUGUUUUUUGUUUAAUUUUUAUUUUAUUAAUUAAAAUAAUUUUGUUUUUAGUAAUUUUUAUUGAAAAAAUAAUUUAUAACUAUAGUUUAUAUUACUGUAAAGGAAAUUUAUUUAAUUAUAUUAAAGCAUGUUUAUUUUUCAGUACCUUUUGUAUCAGGGUUUAUUAAAUUUAAAUUAAUUAUAAUUAAUUUUCCCGAAAUUAAAGGAGAUAUUAUUUUAUGAAGGUUUAUGUUUCAUAAUAAUCUUAAAUAUAAUAAUAGAAGUUAUAUGCUAUUCGAUUUUAAAUAUCUGGUUAUUUAAUAGAUUAAUUUAAUUAAGAACAAUUUUUGGUUAUAAUAUAAAUAUAUUUUUAAUAAUAAAAUUGUUUAAAAUUAAGGAGGAUAAGCUCUUUAUUUGUUCUAUAAUAUUAAAUUAUUUAAGUUUUUGUAGGCUUAGCAACAGCCAUCAUUUAAUUCGUUAUAGUUUUUACUUAUAUUUAAUUAAUUUAUUUUUUAUUUAGAUUUAUAUUAAAUUUUGUAAAUGAAUGGUUUAUUUUUAGUAAUAAUGAUAGAAUUAGUAAUUUUUGAAAUUUUAAAUAUAGGAAUUCGGCAAAUUUAAUCUCCACCUGUUUAACAAAAACAUGUCCUAUUGUAUAUGAUAUUAGGUCUAACCUGCCCAAUGAAUGUGUUUUAAUGGCCGCAGUUUUAAUUGUGCAAAGGUAGCAUAGUCAUUUGUCUCUUAAUUGAAGGCUAGAAUGAAUGGUUGAAUGAGGGAUUAGCUUUCUUUAUUUAAAUUAAUGAAUUUGAUUUUUUAGUUAAAAAUCUAAGAUUUUUUUGCAAGACGAGAAGACCCUAUAGAAUUUUAUUUAAUUAAUAAAUUAUAAAGUUUGGUUGAAUAGGAUUUAUUUUUUAUUAAUUGAAUUUUGUUGGGGUGACAGCGAAAUUUAAUUAACUUUCGUUAUUUAUUUUUUAUUAAUUUAUAUAUUUUAUGAUCCUUUAUUUAAGAUUAUAAGAUUAAAUUACCUUAGGGAUAACAGCGUAAUUUUUUCGGAGAGUUCAUAUCGAUGAUAAAGUUUGCGACCUCGAUGUUGGAUUAAAGUUAGUUAUAGGUGUAGCAGUUUAUGGACUAAGUCUGUUCGACUUUUAAAUCUUUACAUGAUCUGAGUUCAAACCGGCGUGAGCCAGGUUGGUUUCUAUCUGCAAUUUUGAUUUAUAUUUUAGUACGAAAGGACCAAAUAUAAGUAAUAAUUAUUAGGUUUUGA
rnacentral:rRNA from 1 species